UGCGAUUCCCAACUCCAUUUCCCCAUCUCCUUCGCCGGUUAACUCUCGGCGAUCUCUUCCUUCAGCAAAAUCUCUGUGUAAGGCUUUUUUUUUGUCUUUUUCUUAUGCUCUCACUCCUUUAACUUCAUCCUCUUUAAGAAGUGAAGACAACCCUAACCCCUUUUCGCCAGCAAGUUACAAAAAAAUACGAACUUUGAUGUGAGUUUUUCUGUACUGAGCCGAGGGUCGAUUGGAAACAGUCUCUUUGCCCUUUCAGGUAGGGGUAAGGCUCGUCUACAUAUUACCCUCCCCAAACCCCACUUUGUGGGACUAUACUGGGUAGUUGUUGUUGUUGUUGAUGUGGGUUUUUCUCCUUUCUCUCUCUAGCCGUCGAUUUUUUGCUGAGCAUUCUUUGUAAAGAUCUUUACAGUUAACUCUUCUUGUUUUCUAAGUUAAUCUCCCUAAAGGUAAUCCUAAUAAUCCUUUUGAUUUAUUUUCCAUAGUUUUUUACCCAAUUUUUAUGGUCUUAUUCAAUUCAAGAACCCUUCAUUGUACAGUUUUUGUUUGUAAAAAUCUCAUCUUUAUAGCAUAAAACAUCCUCUGUACUGAUGUUUGGUAAUACCUAUGUUUGUUUAUAUUGAUUUUAUGGUUAAAUUUUGAACUAUUUCCGAUAUAGUGUGGGCCAGCCAACAUCAAAUUUGUCUUUUCAAAUUUGAUUUUUCCUACUAGAUCUGGAGCUUCGGGAAUUUGUAUUUUUCUUUAAAUUGAGGAAGAAGAGAUCUAAAUCGGAAAGAGCUUUCGUGUUUUUCUUCGCUCGGAAGUAAAAAGAUAAUUUCCCUCCCUUCUAUUUGUUUUUUAACACGGAAAAUACGUGCUACGGUUUCAAUUCCGUAGGAAACUUAUAUUUCGCUACUAUCAAAUUUCGAAGUCGUGGAAGGUUAUUCCUACUCCUGAGAUACUCAUCGCCGAUUUAUAAACUCUAAGUUCCAAUUUUGCUUGGAUUCCAAAUUUUGAUCCGGUUUUUGUUUGUCUUCUUCUGGUUAUUAAAGAGCACUUCAAAUUCUGUAAGUGCGAAGCAGAAUUCUCGCUCUCUGUGUGUGUGCUUUUUUUUUUUUUCUCUUUUCUUCCUAUUCUCUCUUCUGCUUUUUCUGGGUGUGUGUGGGUGUGUUUUGUUUUCUUGGACAGGUACCUUAUUUUACCGGCGAGGAUUUCCGGCAAGCUUCAGUACUUCCGGGGACUCCCGUUCAGAUUUUCGACAGGACGCAGCAGAACUACCCGUUCGAAUAAGCUUCAAAAAAACUUGCCCCAGGUACUAGUCGCGGCGGCGAGGCCAGUUUGCGGCAUUUGGGAGUGAGGAGCUAAGUAACACCGGCCGGGACGUGCAAGAGUUGGUAGCAGUUGACCUUGGGCGCAUCAAAGCCUACUUUCAGGUUUUUCCACCGGGAGUUGGUACCUCCCGCUCUCGAGUGAGGAGCUAAGCAACACCGGCCAGGACGUGUAAGAGUUGGUAGCAGUUGACCUCGGGCGCAUCAAAGCCUACUUUCAGGUUUUUCCACCGAGAGUUGGUACCUCCUGCUCUCUUGUUUACUCUGUACAUCCUUUUACGUAUUCUAGCUAGCAUUCCGUGUGAGGUUUACGAUGUUGCUAUCUAGUUUGCAUAUUUUUGCGUAUUCCGCUAUAGUGCGUGUGUGCGUCACUAUUCUCCAUAGUCGGUUGGAGGGAUAGUGGCCGCGGCGGGGGAUGAU
rnacentral:lncRNA from 1 species